rnacentral:tRNA from 1 species
GCCUGGAUGGUUCAGUUGGUAGAGCAUGUGACUUUUGAUCUCAGGGUUGUGAGUUUGAGCCCCACAAUGGGUG